AUUGAACGCUGGCGGCAUGCCUUACACAUGCAAGUCGAACGGCAGCACGGGUGCUUGCACCUGGUGGCGAGUGGCGAACGGGUGAGUAAUACAUCGGAACGUACCUUAUCGUGGGGGAUAACGCAGCGAAAGCUGUGCUAAUACCGCAUACGCCCUGAGGGGGAAAGCGGGGGAUCGCAAGACCUCGCGCGAUUAGAGCGGCCGAUGCCUGAUUAGCUUGUUGGUGGGGUAAAAGCCCACCAAGGAGACGAUCAGUAGCUGGUCUGAGAGGACGGUCAGCCACACUGGGACUGAGACACGGCCCAGACUCCUACGGGAGGCAGCAGUGGGGAAUUUUGGACAAUGGGGGCAACCCUGAUCCAGCAAUGCCGCGUGAGUGAAGAAGGCCUUCGGGUUGUAAAGCUCUUUUGUCAGGGAAGAAACACCGGCUCUAACACAGUCUGGGAAUGACGGUACCUGAAGAAUAAGCACCGGCUAACUACGUGCCAGCCGCCGCGGUAA
rnacentral:rRNA from 1 species